GGUACUCGAGCGGCGAACGGGUGAGUAACACGUGAGUAAUCUGCCCCAGGCUCUGGGAUAGCCACCGGAAACGGUGAUUAAUACCGGAUACGACAACCGAUUGCAUGAUCUGGUUGUGGAAAGUUUUUCGGCCUGGGAUGUGCUCGCGGCCUAUCAGCUUGUUGGUGAGGUAAUGGCUCACCAAGGCUUCGACGGGUAGCCGGCCUGAGAGGGUGACCGGCCACACUGGGACUGAGACACGGCCCAGACUCCUACGGGAGGCAGCAGUGGGGAAUAUUGGACAAUGGGCGGAAGCCUGAUCCAGCAACGCCGCGUGAGGGAUGACGGCCUUCGGGUUGUAAACCUCUUUCAGCACAGACGAAGCGAAAGUGACGGUAUGUGCAGAAGAAGGACCGGCCAACUACGUGCCAGCAGCCGCGGUAAUACGUAGGGUCCGAGCGUUGUCCGGAAUUAUUGGGCGUAAAGGGCUCGUAGGCGGUCUGUCGCGUCGGGAGUGAAAACCAGGUGCUUAACACCUGGCCUGCUUUCGAUACGGGCAGACUAGAGGUACUCAGGGGAGAAUGGAAUUCCUGGUGUAGCGGUGAAAUGCGCAGAUAUCAGGAGGAACACCGGUGGCGAAGGCGGUUCUCUGGGAGUAUCCUGACGCUGAGGAGCGAAAGUG
rnacentral:rRNA from 1 species